CAGAAAAUAGUAUAAUUUAUUAUUUAAAUUUUGGGGAUUUAUGAUGAGAGAUCUUUUCUGA
rnacentral:tRNA from 1 species